CAUCCCCUUUAAUAGCGAGUGGUCUUUGUGUGCAUCUCCGCAAACCACUCGUCUACACCGGGGGAAAGAUA
rnacentral:snoRNA from 22 species